ACAAAGGAUUUUUCAAAAUCCAUCUAUGAAAAAAAAGAAGCUCCAU
rfam:Phoenicopterus ruber ruber contig68719, whole genome shotgun sequence.